GUUGCUUGAGAAGUUUCCAGAAGAAGGCAUGUGUCUUCCUGUCUCCUUCACACCUUGUGGUGGCACUUCUUUUAGAGAUUCUGUGAGGGUCUCUGCCAUCUGUGAGCUGUGCUAGCUUCAUCAGCACCCCAGGAGUCCUCAGUCAAGGCACUGGCAUGGUUGACAGUAGAUUUGUGUGAAGAAUGAUGUGCCCACGUGCUGGCUUGCUGUGGGAAUCUCACACGAAGCCUUUCCUUUUCUUUUACACACAGCACUUGUCUCGCCAUGACAUUUCACCACUUGUCUGAUAACUGAGUGCUUGCUGUUUGAUUCUAAGUUCAAGACUUCAUUUCCUGCCACAUCUAGGGAAGAAGCUGGAUUCAGGGAGGAAUUUGUGAAGAUGAUCUGGGACAGGACUGUAACUGAUUGGGAGCGAAACCUGGGAGCAGCUCUGUGCCCCUGUUCACAUGAAUGCUACUGCCACCGACUCCCAAUCAUGUGCCUGGAGCCCUGACAGCCUCCACCACCUAAUCUGCAAAGUAGGAGACUUCAUGUUCAGGCUACUAGAACAAGAGGCCGUGGGACCAAGCACAUUAGAUGUUCAGGAGAAAAUGGAGCGGCCUAUCCUCUAUGAUGAGAUAACUUGCAGCUAGUACUCAGCAAGUAAGAGAUUCAAUCCACAAAACACUUGCAACAUUUCAGAUCCCUGAAGGUUUCUUCAAGUCAGGCACAGCCUGAUUCGCCAUGACAGCUUCUCUGAAGUUGUGUCCUUUAAGAAGCAAUAAUUGUCAUUUGGGGGCCUUCCGGGUGAAAAGGCAAAACAGAAGCAAAGGAGCUAGAACAAACAAUCACCCAGCUAAGGAAACACUCCAGGUCUCAAGGGCACGGAAGAGAUGCCAGCACACCAACCUGAAGGCAAUAGAAAUUGUCACUGGAGAAGAAAAUAAACUUCCUCAUGGGGACACGUCAACACAGCUUUGUUCCUCUGAGUCAAGCAACUUCGAAGAGGUAACCUACAGAGACACAAGGCAACCUGCCCUGGUUGGUACCAUUUGCAGUUUCAGUUGCUGUUCCUUAUACUUCUCGUAGCAUCUCUGAAAUCAGAACCUCAUGAAAGGGUGCUGAGUGGACAGGUGCUAACUGUUGGGACAAUUUCACCCCAGGAGAAAGGAGCUGGCGGGCUGCUCGUGGGCACAGUGGGCGGCCCAGCAGUGCUGUCUCCUGGAGCAGCCCUGAGCUAGUGGGUAAAUCCUGAGGAUGGCGUCUCCAGUAAAAAGACCUGCAAGAUAGUUUCCCACUGGUAACCCUCUUCGCUCUGGUUUGUCAGUUAUUCAGAGGAAGGGAAAUCUGCUUUAAAAUCGAC
rnacentral:lncRNA from 1 species